UAGGGAAUCUUCCACGAUGGGCGAAAGCCUGAUGGAGCAACGCCGCGUGUGUGAUGAAGGCUUUCGGGUCGUAAAGCACUGUUGUAUGGGAAGAACAGCUAGAAUAAGAAAUGAUUUUAGUUUGACGGUACCAUACCAGAAAGGGACGGCUAAAUACGUGCCA
rnacentral:rRNA from 1 species